rnacentral:rRNA from 1 species
CCCAGAUCCAUCUCCCUCCAACCAGCCACAGCCGCCACCUUCUCCUUGAUCCAAAUCAUCUCUGACCACCUUCCUUGUUUUCCACUGCCGCCCAACCACAACCAGCCACAGCCAGAUCCGAUCCAUCCACUUGUCCGAGGAGACAACAGCCGCACCGCUCGCGCCCAAGCUCCUCCUGCCGACGCCCUCCGCCACCCAGGAUGCAGCCGCCGCCCGGGGAGCAUCUCUGGAUGCCUCCCGAACACCAAAUCCGGCCCUCUCAGACGCCUCCUCGCAGGAUCCGGUCGUCUCCGUCUCAUUGAACCUCGCGCCCGCUGUGUCUGUCAUCUGCAGGAGCCAGGGUCGUCGCCUCCUUCAGUUCGCCAUGGACGCCUAGCUCGAACUCCUCGUCCCCGGCCUCCUCACCAUGGCUGCUGCCUUUCUGCUGAACCUCGCGCCUGCCACAGCCGCUGCAUCGCCUCUGCAUCGAGCGCCGCUCGACCCUGCGUUGACCCGUCGCCCCGCCAAGUCCAUGGAACCGCUUUGCCUGCUGCUUCUACUGCUUCGUGCAUCGCAGCCAUGCCAAGGCCUUGCAUCCCCAUCUCCAGAUCGCCGCCGCGCCCCGUUUUCGACCCGAUCUAGCCGAGAUGGGUUCGGCCUGCAUCAGAUCCCGGCGUCCCCAGCUUACCCGCUGCGCCACCAAGACUUCCUCGCCGGCCUCUCCUGCUUCUGUGUGCGGGGACGACGACCAGCGCCAGUCGCGCUCCUGCCUCUGGUCGAGAGGAGGGGACUGCAGUCGCGACGGCCUUCGUUGUGCGCGCCCUCGCGUCUGGACUACUUCCCGUGAGCCGGCCCAGCCAGCAUCCACCAGGCCGGCCUGCCUCUACCCCCUCUGUAGAUGGGCCAAGGCCCAUGGUUCCGAUAACGUCGCGUUUGUGAGGAUUCGUUCGACUACGUCCGCUUGUCUUCUUCAUGGACUCGUUCUUCUUCCUUGCGGGAUUUCAGGCAAGAUGACCAUACCCUCGAAAUCACUUCUAUCUUUGCUUGCUAGUUGUUUGCUCUGUUGCUAUGCCACGAUACCUACCACUUGCUAUAUCACGCCUCCCAUAUUGCCAUGUCAAGCCUCUAACCCACCUUUCCUAGCAAACCGUUGUUUGGCUAUGUUACCGCUUUUGCUCAGCCCCUCUUAUAGCGUUGUUAGUUGCAGGUGAAGCUAAAGUUUGUUCCAUGUUGGAACAUGGAUAUUAUUGGGAAAUCAUUACUAUCUCUUAUUUAAUUAAUGCAUCUAUAUACUUGGUAAAGGGUGGAAGGCUCGACCUUAUGCCUGGUGUUUUGUUCCACUCUUGCCGUCCUAGUUUCCGUCAUACCGGUGUUAUGUUCCUUGAUUUAGCGUUCCUUAUGCGGUUGGGUGUUAUGGGAACCCCUUGACAGUUCGCUUUGAAUAAAACUCCUCCAGCAAGGCCCAACCUUGGUUUUACCAUUUGCCACCUAAGCCUUUUUCCCUUGGGUUCUGUAGACUGAAGGGUCAUCUUUAUUUCAAACCCCCGGGCCAGUGCUCCUCCGAGUGUUGGUCCAAACUGGGCAAUGUCCCGCGCCCCCUGGGCAACCAGGGUCUAUGCCAACCCGACGUCUUGCCCAUUCGGUGUGCCCUAAGAACGAGAUACGUGCGACUCUAUCGGGAUUUGUCGGCACAUCGGGUGGCUUUGCUGGUCUUGUUUUACCAUUGUCGAAAUGUCUUGUAACCGGGAUUCCGAGACUGAUCGGGUCUUCCCGGGAGAAGGAAUAUCCUUCGUUGACCGUGAGAGCUUGUGAUGGGCUAAGUUGGGACACCCUUGCAGGGUUUUGAACUUUCGAAAGCCGUGCCCGUGGUUAUGGGCAGAUGGGAAUUUGUUAAUGUCCGGUUGUAGAGAACUUGACACUUAACUUAAUUAAAAUGAAUCAACCACGUGUGUAGCCGUGAUGGUCUCUUUUCGGCGGAGUCCGGGAAGAGAACACGGUCUCUUGUUAUGCUUGAACGUAAGUAGUUUUAGGAUCACUUCUUGAUCAUUAUUAGCUUCUUGACCAUGCUUUGCUUCUCUUCUCGCUCUCUUUUGCGUAAGUUAGCCACCAUAUAUGCUAGUGCUUACUGCAGCUCCACCUCACUACCCUUUCCUACCUUUAAGCUUAAAUAGUCUUGAUUGCGAGGGUGUGAGAUUGCUGAGUCCCCGUGACUCACAGAUACUUCGAAAACAGAUGCAGCUGCCGACGAUGCCAGUGCAGGGGAUGCUACCAAACUCAAGUGGGAGUUCGACGAGGAUUUGGGAUGUUACUACGUGUCUUUUUUGGAUGAUCAGUAGAGGAGCCCAGUUGGGGAGAUCGGGGAUCUAGCAUUUGGGGUUGUCUUUUUUAUGUUGGUUCCGUAGUCGGAC